rnacentral:rRNA from 1 species
CGGAUAUGCUUGCUCUUGCAACGAUGAAGAACGCAGCGAAAUGCGAUACGUAGUGUGAAUUGCAGAAUUCCGCGAAUCAUCGAGUCUUUGAACGCAAGUUGCGCCCGAGGCUUGUCCGAGGGCAUUUCCGCUAGAGCGUCACCGCG